rnacentral:rRNA from 1 species
UACGUAGGUGGCAAGCGUUAUCCGGAUUUAUUGGGUUUAAAGGGUGCGUAGGCGGUUAAAUAAGUCAGUGGUGAAAGUCUAUGGCUCAACUAUAGGAUUGCCAUUGAUACUGUUUAACUAGAGUACAGCAGAGGUAGGCGGAAUGGACGGUGUAGCGGUGAAAUGCAUAGAUAUUGUCCAGAACACCAAUAGCGAAGGCAGCUUACUGGAGUGUAACUGACGCUGAGGCACGAAAGUAUGGGGAUCAAACAGG